rnacentral:rRNA from 1 species
CUACCCGGGUUUCUAAUCCUGUUCGCUCCCCACGCUUUCGCUCCUCAGCGUCAGUUACGGCCCAGAGAUCUGCCUUCGCCAUCGGUGUUCCUCCUGAUAUCUGCGCAUUCCACCGCUACACCAGGAAUUCCAAUCUCCCCUACCGCACUCUAGUCUGCCCUUACCCACUGCAAGCCCGAGGUUGAGCCUCGGGAUUUCACAGCAGACGCGACAAACCGCCUACGAGCUCUUUACGCCCAAUAAUUCCGGACAACGCUUGCACCCUACGUAUUACCGCGGCUGCUGGCAC